rnacentral:rRNA from 1 species
GGACCAUCAUGUCGGUCGUGCCUCGGUACGUACUGGUAUUGUUGGUUUCUCCCUUCUGACGAACCAUGAUGUCAUUUAUUUGGUGCUGUGGGGAAUCAGGACUGUUACUUUGAAAAAAUUAGAGUGUUUAAAGCAGGCUCACGCUUGAAUACAUUAGCAUGGAAUAAUGAAAUAGGACGUUCGAACCUAUUUUGUUGGCCUUCGGGAUCGGAGUA